UGGCCCUUGGAGAAGAUAUGAAAGCAGAUCUGUCAAACGCAAGGAUGUCCAGGCUUGAGUGUUAAAGAAAACACCAAUGCAGCUUAUGAUGCAGCUUGUACAGCGUAAUUCCACUUUUCGUAAAAUACUGUAUGAGUGACUGGCUGCAGGCAAGACCAAGGCCACCACUGUGGGCCCUCCUUCCAGUCAGGCCUGAGGACAAGGUGAGCUCGCUGAGUCCAGCCUCGUGGUCUUCUCCAAGAUGCCACCAGACGCCCAGCCUACAGCCUCUCAGGGUCGGAUCGGAGCACGCCUGCCUCCCUCUCCCCUCCACCCUCACCCAGCCACUCCCAGGCUGCUUCGCACUUUGCCCUCUGCCUGGUGGGGAGGGGAGAGCUCAGCCCCCCACUCACUCAGACCCCAAGGCCCACUGUCCAGCUGCAGAAAUUCGUUGCCAAAGAUUGGACAGAGACACCGAAGGAAAUGGGGUGAUGAAACCCCACAGCGAAAAGCCACACCGUUGCUCUGUGACUUUUGCUCCUCCUGUUGCCUGAGCCCCAUCUCAAGCCAAAGAUGAGUCAGUGGUUCUGCCAGGAACUCAUGGAAGGGAUGGGCAUUUGAUGACCCCUGGAGGUCAUCUUGGCCCUCUAACCUGGCGCUCUCUCUCCACUGGGCCUUGCGCUGGCUGAGUGCAAGACAAGCCUUAGGGGCUGUGAGAGGGUGCCUGGGCGGGGCCGGUAGUGGGGCCUGAGAUCCCGGCCCACUCUCUCCCCUUCAUUGGCUGCCCAGGCCGCUGGUCCCAGUUCUCAGUGUCCCUGGGUCCAGGCUUCUUGGGUCCUGAGCAUCACCAGAAGGGAGUAAGCAGGGAGAGAAGCAAUAUUACUCCCUCCCCUACACCAGGGACUUGCCCCAGGGCAGCUACCUAUGGGUCUUUGCUCCCCCAGUCAGCGUCUCCUCACUGUGACCCACUCCCAUGGGCCCCCAUCCCAGGCAGCCAGCCCAUGGGCAGGCCCUGCCAUGGACAGAAAAAGAGUUUUUCUCUUGUUCAGCCUGCCCGUGGCCUGAGGAAGGAGUGGAGGCUGGGUUGGCUCGAGCCGUCCUACUGGGCAAGAUGGCGCCCCACUUGGAGGGCGGUGGCCUGUUACAGGGUGUGCAGGGGCAGAGAAGGAAGGGACCAGGGGACUGGGCCAGUAUGUGGAGGACGGAGGGGUGUGUUCAAAGCCAAGGCCUGCCCCUUCCUUGUGCUCAAAUGGCCAAAGCUGUUCACAUCUGGGCUCAACCAUCUGCUUCAAAUUGA
rnacentral:sRNA from 1 species